UGGCGGCCAUGGCGGCGGUUCCGGUGGCGGCGGAUUUGGCGGAUCCGGUGGCGGUGGUGCCGGUCCGAUGGACGACGA
rnacentral:tRNA from 1 species